rnacentral:rRNA from 1 species
UCAGCGACGGAUAUCUCGGCUUGGGCACCUAUGAAGGGCGCAGCGAAACGCGAUAAUCUUUGUGAAUUGCAGAACUCCGUGAACCAAUGGCCUCCUGAACG